UUCAAUAUUGGUUGGGUGAUGAACAAAAUUGUCGUUUUGCUUCUCCUCCUGUCUUUCUCUUUCGCGACAAACUCUUUCUCUCCUUCUCAAUUCUCUCUGUAGCGACUCUUUCUUAUUGAAAAUUUGAGUAGUAUCAAGCCGUUUUAGCCACUCACAUGUCAUGGAUUCUCCUCUUGCUCCCAGAUUCUUACAAACCCUAACCCAAUUCUCUAAAUCUCCGUUUCUCUCUCCAUGUUCUGUUUUCAGGUUUAAGCGCAUCUUUACUGAAAAUUUGAGAAAGGAGGCCAACCAAUGCUGUUUAAAAUAAACGCUAAUUGAUUACGUCUACAGGGCAGUACGUCUCUGUAUGAUCCUGAUGAAGGGUGUGAUAAGCUGUACUGAGUGGAAUAACAAGCUGCAAAUCAGGAUCUCAGCUGAGUGAUGUAAAUUUACUACUUAGUAGGUGUUAAAUAUUUUUGCAUAGAACUAUCAAUAUAGAAAUAUCUAAACUGAUGAUAUAUUUGACAUCCAUUCUGCAAUCUCCAUGGAAAGCCUCUUUGUGGUUUUUGUUUCAUUUUCAGGCUGCAUUUGGAGAAAAGCAUUUUUGGAGAGAAACUGCUACUGAUGAUCCAAGAGUUGGCGUUUCACCAGUGACAUUGAAACUUUCUUUGUUGAUAAAUGCUUGUUAAUCUGUGAUCAAGCUGCAUUUUUUUGUUUCAUUUUCAGGCUGCAUAUGUUGGUGAAGCUGUGAGAUGCAAGUUUAGACUGCAUAAAUGACAAGGUCUAAGAGUGUGUGUCAAGUUAACUUGAGAGUCAAAAUAUUUUGAACAUAAGAUUUUGAUUUUCAAAUUUUCAAUUUUAAGAACCUCUACAAUUGGAGCAUGUUUUUUUAAAAAACAUUCAUGAGUUUCUUAGAUUUUGAUUUAGCUAUAUUUCUAUCAUAAAUAUGGUUAAAAACCCAUGAGAGAUUCUUAACCAUUGGAGAUGGUCUAAGGGACUAGUUGAAACAGAGCAUGUGGUUCUUGGGAGAGGCAAAUGAGAUUUUUAUAAGGACUCCUUCAACAUAAAAGGAGUGUGGGAGGCAACUCGGGUGCAUCACACAAGGCAAGAUUGGUCCCAAGGCAUAUGGUUUACCCAUGCCAUGCCAAAAUUUUGUUUUUAUGCUUGGCUUACAACAAUAAAUAGAUUAACAACGGGAGACCGGAUGAUGAGUUUGAAUGUUGGGGCUCCCAUAUCUUGUGUCUUCUGUCAAGUGCCAUUGGAAACCAGGAAUCAUUUGUUUUUUGAAUGUCCAUACUCAGAGAGAAGUGUGGUCGGGUCUUGCUUCCAAGCUCCUCGCUGGUAACUUCUCUACAAACUGGGCAGUUAUUCUCAAUCUACUCCCGAAUGGGUCAAUAGGAGGAGUUUGAUUAUUUCUGUUACGAUAUACUUUCCAGCUUCUCGUUUACUCAAUAAGACGUGUCCACAAAAAUU